UACGAAGGGGGCUAGCGUUGCUCGGAAUCACUGGGCGUAAAGGGUGCGUAGGCGGGUCUUUAAGUCAGGGGUGAAAUCCUGGAGCUCAACUCCAGAACUGCCUUUGAUACUGAAGAUCUUGAGUUCGGGAGAGGUGAGUGGAACUGCGAGCGUAGAGGUGAAAUUCGUAGAUAUUCGCAAGAACACCAGUGGCGAAGGCGGCUCACUGGCCCGAUACUGACGCUGAGGCACGAAAGCGUGGAGAGCAAACAGG
rnacentral:rRNA from 1 species